AUUGAACGCUGGCGGAAUGCUUUACACAUGCAAGUCGAACGGUAGAGGGGGCAACCCCUCGAGAGUGGCGAACGGGUGAGUAAUAUAUCGGAACGUGCCCAGUCGUGGGGGAUAACGUAGCGAAAGUUACGCUAAUACCGCAUACGAUCUAAGGAUGAGAGCGGGGGAUCGCAAGACCUCGCGCGAUUGGAGCGGCCGAUAUCAGAUUAGGUAGUUGGUGGGGUAAAGGCUCACCAAGCCAACGAUCUGUAGCUGGUCUGAGAGGACGACCAGCAAAACUGGAAAUGGGAAACGGUCCAGACUCCUACGGGAGGCAGCAGUGGGGAAUUUUGGACAAGGGACGCAAGUCUGAUCCAGCCAUUCCGCGUGAAGGAUGAAGGCCCUCGGGUUGGAAACUGCUUUUGUACGGAACGAAAAGGUCUCUCCUAAUACGGGGGGCUCAUGACGGUACCGUAAGAAUAAGCACCGGCUAACUACGUGCCAGCCGCCGCCGUAA
rnacentral:rRNA from 1 species